UGGGAGAAGGACCAGGACAGAGUAAGAGAUUAGGACACAGACACACAUGGAGGGAAGACCAUGUCAACACAGAGGAAGACAGCCAUUUACAAGCCAAGGAGAGAGGUUCAGAAGAAAACAACCCCUGCCGACCCCUGAUCUUGGACUUCUAGCCUCCAGAACU